rnacentral:rRNA from 1 species
CAGCAGCCGCGGUAAUACGGAGGGUGCAAGCGUUAUCCGGAUUUAUUGGGUUUAAAGGGUCCGUAGGCGGACUUAUAAGUCAGUGGUGAAAGCCUGUCGCUUAACGAUAGAACUGCCAUUGAUACUGUAAGUCUUGAGUAUAUUUGAGGUAGCUGGAAUAAGUAGUGUAGCGGUGAAAUGCAUAGAUAUUACUUAGAACACCAAUUGCGAAGGCAGGUUACCAAGAUAUAACUGACGCUGAGGGACGAAAGCGUGGGUAGCGAACAGGAUUAGAUACCCGAGUAGUCCCUGUCUCUUAUAC